CUUUGCAUAAUUGUGCUCUCAGUUACCAGCUGGGAACAAACCCGGAGCCCCCAGGGGUGGGCCAGCACUGUCUUGCUCAACUUUCUCACUUUCAGUUUGUCCCAAUUAGAAGCACUUAUUCAGGGAUUAUCCCUGAUUUUCACCUGGGCACUUCAGGGUCUAAUUUCUAACAGGAAUAGCAGCUCUGGGUAGGCUACGCAUUCUGACCUCUUAAAGCUUGCUUUUAUUUCUUCUUUUUUUUUCCCUGCGUAACUCUGGGUGAAGGUGUUCAGGAAUCUCCUCCCGACACCUUUCUUUCCAAGUCUAACACCAUCAGGACUUGCAGACCUUGCCAGGGUUGAUAAAUGCCUGAUCAUUUUGCUGCAUUGUGAGCCAGCAGACUUGGGAGCAGAGAAGGAUCCCACAGGACUGGAAAAUAUCGCUUUUUGCUUAAGCCCAAGGUUUCGUUUGCCUCCCAUGAAGACAGAAGCUGUUCCAGCUUCCACUGCCAUCUCAGUGGGUUAGACCUGAGCUUCCCUGGUGGAUAAAAAACGAGUUAGAAAAUUUUAAACUUGGGUUCCCAUUCCAGAGCAACUGCAGUGGGAUGAGUCAGGCACUGCUGCCACAGGAUAAUGAAGGAGAAUGUGUAUUUUAAUGAGCCCAUUUCAGAGCAGAUGCACUAAUAGCUUUCACAGCAUCUCACAGCUGAGGGUGGAGGGCUGCUUGGGGUUCAUCUGUUCCUAUGAUGGCCAGGUGGCACCAGAAAUGCUCUACAUUGAGCCCUGGCUUUCAUCCCUGGGCAAACAGUGCUACAUGUGCUGUUGCUGGGGCAGAGAGGGACCUGCAACCCCUGCCCAGGGGCAUCUUCCCUCUGCAUCCAGCUCAGGGAUCUCACAGACACCUCUGGCUGCUGACCUUGCACAGCAUGGGUAUGUAGAGCCCUAGCUGAAGCUGCUCUGCUCAUGGGUCCCUUCUGCAUGUAUGGAAGCCCCCCUGCUAUAAAAAGAACAUUUCUGACCCCCAUGUGGCAUUCCUGACUCCCAAAGACCUUGGGGCUGGUUGAGCUGUGUUCCCAACCCUUGUCUGCUUGAGUACAUGUAGUGGCAACAGCUGCAGCUUGGGCUGUGUGACCUCUCAUGGCAGGAGAGCUGGGCUCUCCCUUCUGCUCUAGCUGGACACAGCAUCCCCUGCACACUCCACCCUGGCCUGAUCUCCAUGGUGAUACAUGCAAUCCAGCACAAAACCUCUACAACUGGGAUACACACCUCAGGUCCAAGAAAAGGAUAAGGACAUGGGGACUAGCCUCCCACAGUUCAAUCAUCUUGGAAUGCAUUUACUUGUAAUUAGAAGGAGGAUGAGUUUUUAUAGGAAUAGACAUGUAAGGCACAACCAGUGCUCUGAGACCACAGAGGAGAAAACUGACAUUUUCCUGUACAGGGACAACAUAGAGAUGAAGUAAAGCUGCAGUGUUGAAGUAAAGCUGCAUGUCUCUGCAACCAAGGUCUUUUCACAUAAGCUAUUAAGAUUCAGCUCUACCAUCCUCUUUGAUUUCCUAAUUCACAUUCAUGCAAAUGUUCUCCAAGACAUGGACUGUUGGUGAGCAAAGUAAAGGUUACAGUGCAAUCAGCUGCUGUUACUGUAUGGGAAAACGAGAUCCUGAUGUCUACACUCAGCUGAUCACUGGAAGUAUUCCUAAAGGCUGUACACUAUUGUCAUCAUUGUUGUGAUCACUGUCAGCAGCACCACCACAUCACUCAGUGAGUUGGACUUGGUCCCCCCACGUUGUGUAAGUUAAAUCACAGGCUUCUCCUUGGGACUGAAAGGAUUGCACCUGCACAUGCUGAUCCUUUUUCAUUUAUUCACAAGAUCUCAGGUUUGAGAGUGGGAGUGCACCCAUGGGUGAAGUGCAGCUGGAAUCAAUUGCACAUGCCAAAGGAUGAAGGAUGGAUGACAAACUCCCAGGUGUCUAGAGGGCUUUUUUUCCCUCAAUGACUCCUGACUGAAUAAAGCUGUACUGGAGUGUGACAAAGGCAUUGAUGGGAUGUGUGUCAUUUACCCCCCAAUCUUCAUGAGUUACUGACUGGUGUGUGACUAGCAAGCCUCUCUGGUCUCUUGUCAGGCUGAUCUCAGAGCCAGUCUAUAGUGGCAUAAGGUAUUGGUGGCCCUGCUCACCAAAAUGGGAGAGAGACAACUCCCUCCAGACCAGAUAUAGUCUCUAAAUUCCAUUCCUGAAAAAAAUUCCUAGGGUAGUUACAGAAAUUGUGCAUGCCAAAUUUUCUUGCCCAGGCCAGAGUCCUAGCAGACCAUGCAGGAUUUCAGUUAUGUCCCCUCUUUCCCUGGUACAAUCUAGAUGCCUGCUGUGCAUUUCCAUAAACUGUGGAUAGCAGUGAGCCAAAACCCUCAUCUCAAAGGCACUCUCCAAGAACUAAUGUACUAUGUGCUCACUUUUAUUAAUUUUAAUUUAGAGUUCUUAUGACAGGAACAAUGCAAAUAUUGACUCCAUCAUGGAGUGCAAAGGUUUGCCUGCACAGAAAAAACACACAGUAUGCCCAAAACAGCUUGAAAGGCUGUUCUAUAUUCAGCAAGUUUAUUUUGGUCUCAUCUCUCUAGGAUAAGGAUUGACAUAAGUGACUCUUGAAGGGAGUGACCUCUCAUGCCCUGAGCCCCAGCAGUGUGCACCAGUGCAGCAGCAUCUUCCUGGUACAACAGCAGAGUUUUCAGGGGACCUUUGCAUUUUGCCUGAAAUGGGAAAAUCAUUGCUCUAUGUUAGUUCUUCUGUCACACCCAAGAAAGGAAACCAUAGACAAGUGAAGAAAAAGCAGGUGGCCCAUCCCUUCAGGGCACGUGGUAUAUCUCUGCAGAACCACGGGUGGUAUCUCUCAGCAGAAUCUCAGCAGAAUAUCUGACAUUGUAAGUCAGCAGCCCUCGGAAGCCACUCCAGCCUUGCAGCCAGCAGUGCCCCCGGGCAGGCACACACCUCCCCAGGAAUGCUGCUCAGCCACAGGUGUGGUCUGGGGUGGGCUGGCAAAGCUCCUCCUGCACUAAACAAACAGUGGCUUUGGGGGUGAGGAUGGGGAAUACAGUUCAGCGGGAUGCCAGUUCUGCCAGAAAAUUCUUAGUCCUCACACACAAAACUCCAGUACAGUUGCACCUUCCUCCUUCAUUGAAGAAAGCAGCGCUGGUGUCAAGGAACCUCCUCUGAUCCCAACUGAGUCAUGCCCAAGGGGAGGAUGCUAACGAGAGCUGAGGCUCAGUGAGAAAUGUGGUUAAAUGGAACUACCACACAAUCAUGUCAAUUCCAUAUCCUAGCAUUGAAAGGAGGAAGAGAAUAAAAAUAAAUGUAUAUGCCUCAAUUUUUUUUUAAUUACAAGUAAUGACAUAAUUAAUUUUUUCUGGAGGUCAUUCUAGGACAGUAAUACAGUAAUUUAGGCCAGCUUGACCACAUUGAAAGGGUGCAACUAUGGCUUCCCUACCCUUCAUCGUCUGCCAGUCUUCCUCUUUGCUGAACCACAGUCCAACAAGCAAGAUACCACAAAGAAAAUUUCCUGAUUUGCACUGUGAAAAUGACAAAUGUGGUCAGAAGAGACCUGAUUUCAAAAGGUGAUUAGGUUUAUAUAUGUACAGCACUAGAUAGUCUCUCAGCCUGGACCUUCAUUUAGCUCACAGUAACAUAUGAAUAUGCCUACAGCCCUGGCAAAAAAAAACUGAAACCAAAACUAAAGGAAACAAAAACAAAAAACACCAAAAGAAAAGUCAAAAUAUUAACUUCACAAAUUAGACUGGAGGCAAACUUUCAGCCCAUCAUUACACAGGCAGAUUGUGUGCACUGCUGGUAUAGCACUUCAUUACACCAGCUAAGUCAAAACUUCUAAAAAAAUGUAUUGUAUUAGGUAAAUUCUCCCAUACUUCCCAACAUCAGAACCAUAACAUAAUUUCCAGGGUUUGAAGAUUACAGUGUCUGGAAAGAAAACACUCAAGUUCAGGACAUACCUUGAAAUAGCCAUAUCCACUCACUUUUGACACACACCUGUGCAUGUACAGCACCAGCUGUACAUGUAAAAUAAACAGUCUGUGCAAUCAAACUGCACACCCUGAUAUUUCUACUACUCUUGACUGUGAUUUAGAGGCUGUAAGUUGAAAGUAUAAACAGAAUAUGAAAGCCAUACAAGUCACCUAACUGUUUUUCCCCAAGCAGGAAAGGUUUAUUUGCCUUUGAUGAUAUAAAAUUGCUCUUAGAAGUCUAACAGAUCUUCUGCAGGGAGCUAUAUUUUGCAAUUUUCUUCAAAUGAACCUUGUGGUUGAAUAAGUGUUUUCAGCCCAAAGUUUACAGAGUUAUAUGGAAGUAGAGACUGGUUUUGGUUCCUUCAAAGCCAAUAGAAAUUUUGUCAUCAACUCUGGAACAACCAGAAAUAACUUUCUUAUCACAGAGAAGCUCGGGAAGCUGUCUCAGCUUAAUUUUUCAACCUUAUAUGCUGGCUUUCUCACAUGAUAUUCAGGGUAUAAUCAACUCCCAGUGGUCCUGUUAGAAUAAAUGCCAUUUCAAAUAUCAGACCCUUUACAACUGAGCCCCUUAUAUACUAGAGAAGAGAUUCUGGUGAGUUUCUACCUACAGCACUUUAUUUUUAAUGGGUUAACUCUUGCUCUGUAGAGAUUGGCAGUGGCUUGUAUGGAGUGAGCAGGCCCUGGUGAGCAAGGAUGGGGAAGGGCAGCAAUAAUCUCUGCUAGGAUGUUCUCAUUCUGCAGCCCUCACUGAUGCUUCAGGGAGCAGAGUUCUCAGGUACCACUGUUAUGUGGGUGCCCCUGCUGAUCUCACCUGGGUUACUUCAAAAGCAAUAUUGUUUCCUACUGCUUCAA